rnacentral:rRNA from 1 species
GACGUAGGGUCCAAGCGUUGUCCGGAUUUACUGGGCGUAAAGAGCGCGUAGGCGGUCUGUUAAGUGAGAAGUGAAAUCUCCAGGGCUCAACCCGGAAACGGCUUUUCAUACUGGAAGACUAGAGGGAUGCAGAGGUUUGUGGAAUUCCUGGUGUAGCGGUGAAAUGCGUUGAUAUCAGGAGGAACACCCAUGGCGAAGGCAGCAAACUGGGCAUCAUCUGACGCUGAGGCGCGAAAGCGUGGGUAGCAAACAGG